AAAAAGACAAACCCUGGGUUUCUGUGUCCAACGUUUGACCCUCCGUCUUAUUUAAAAAAAAUUAAAAAGAUAAGACACGCAUAAAGUAUUAAUCAUGUUUUAUCAUCUAACAACAAUGAAAAUACUAAUUAUAAAAAAAAUUUAUAUAAGAAAAACAGUCAAACGUUGGACACGGAAACCUAGGGUUUAUUUUUUG
rnacentral:pre_miRNA from 1 species